rnacentral:lncRNA from 10 species
UGAGUCCUGGAAUCAAUCCCCCAGAGAUACUGAUGGGAUCUUAACAAUGACAGUAAUUGAUGGUGUGUGAAGAAAAAAGGGAAGAUCAGGAGACUUUAACCUGUGGUAUUCCCAUGUUUAGAAGCAAAAUGGGGAACAAAAAGGAAGCGAAUAACAAUCAGAAAAAUAGGAGGAUAACAAUAGUGUAAUAUCAUGGAUGCCAAAGGAGAGUUUCAAAAAGAAGAAGGCAACCAAUAGUGUCAAAUGUUUCAGACAAUUGUAAAAAUUCAAAAAUAAAAAUAUUUAAAACUUUCAA